GUUCGCAUCUGCGACAUAUCUGAAACUCCCACCGUGACUUGGCUGGCACACCUGGCUUUGGAGAUUUGGACGCUGAUGGCGUGAUUUUCCUAAUCCCUCAGUCCUUACUCUUAUUUGCUGACUCUUGCUGUGUGGUGAAAGAAGGUCCUAAGGUUCACCGCUACUACUGAAUUUUGGCUAGGCCAUACAUGGACAAUCCGCAAGAAGGCAACAUGAUUCAAGCUGAUGCAACAAAAAAAAACCUUCCCCCCUAUUUUGUUCAUUCACCUAGAGAGAUUCACAAAAAGUACAUGGAAGCUAUUGCAGACAUAAAGACUACUACAAAACCACUGACAUGUAUUACUUUCAAAGGAACAACAAAGCUUCCCGAGGAUCACAUAUUCAAGGCUGCCAAAUACAUAACUCAAUACAUGAUUAAAGGAACCCCGCAUGUCCUUACUUUCAAAGGAACAACAAAGCUUCCCGAGGAUCACAGAUUCAAGGCUGCCAAAUACAUCAAUACAUGAUUAAAGGAACCCCGCAUGUCCAAAUUAUCAUCGAAGAAGAAGGCACCUA